UUGGUUACUGGUCCCCCAACGUGGGGAUUAGCCAUCAUGCUGGGAACACUGACUCCCUGCGUACCACCAGGCUGUGUGCCAAUGUUCUGAGGGUGGGCAAAGCAGGAGGUCCCUGAGGAGGUGUGAGCAGAUGAAGACAGUCCAGCAGGGGGAUGGCAGACCACCUGGACCAGCUGCACACUCAGAGCUCCCUGCACGGGUGAGGGGUCACUGAAUAUGUUGGAGCGAGGCAUGGGGAAUCUUAGCUCUGCGACCAGGGAUCGAACCUGCACCACCCUCACUGAAAGGCGAAGUCCCAACCACUGGACCACCAGGGAAGUCCCCUUGUCUGUCUUCUUGACUGGCCUAAGUGUUGGCAUUGCUGUUACGGAGGGAAAGAUUUUUGGACAUAUUCCCUUUACAAUUCUUCUGC